GCGUAUACAUAAAUAAGCGAAAAAGCAUAGACAUAGACAUGGUCACCUACAUAAAAACGCAGUAACAUAAACACACACACACGCACACAAGACGCUGCUGCCAGAAGGAGUUAUAGAAACAGAGAGGGAGAGAACCAGGUGCAAUAGGAGAGGGGAUAAGACCCCGGUCAUGCUCUUUCACGCAAUGUGUCUCAUUGUUGUAACCCUUGCCCUGCACUAACUCUGACUCCCUGUCGAAGUCGUCAUCCCCCUAUUUGCUCCAGUUUCGAUGCAGGUAGAGAUUACAAAACGGCAUUCGGCUUGUGUAUUGAAGCGACACAAAGUCGGGUGGAGACAGAGGCAGACCAAAGAAAACGAAGAAGGCAAAGGCAAGACAGAAGCAACAAGGAAAUCUAAAUCGAGUAGCCGAGGACUGAUACCCUCGCAGAUAAUAUGUUCCUAUGUCAGAUAUAUAUAUACAAAUAUACAUGUACAUAUACAUAUAUAUAAUAUAAAUCAAAAUGGAAUAUUAUUUGUCAGAGGUGCAUAUACUAAUAUAAAACUUCGUUGAUGAAUGUUUGCUUGAAUAAUCUUUUAUAACAGAUCAAAGGCCGAUCACUGUUGCAAACAUCUACUUUAAAUCACAUCAACCUUUCUGCUAGGGUAUAAAAAUCACUGCGUUGGCCACCGGCUAAAAAAUAAAAUGCCGCCUGUGGCGCCCUCAUCGACAGCGACGUCAGCGUCAGCGUCGGCGUCGUCGACGCUUGUCUCGGUUUCUGUUUUGUGUCUUGCGGUGCCUGUAGGCAUGCAAGUGUGUGUUGGUGCAUUUUGUUUGCUGCCCGGGCAGCGUCUUGCGUUUGUGCUUGUGUUACACAUAUGCUGGCUGUCUGCAUGUGACGGCGGCAGAGGCGUCGGAUGAUCAUUACUCUGCCGGCGGCUCUGUUUUUAUUUCUUUUUCAUUUCUUUGGCUUUUCUUUCCAUCGCUGCCUCGGACGUCAUUCCGUGUGGUAUUCGUUCGUUGGCGUUCGUUACGGAUAUAUACAUAUAGUCGAAGACCCAUUGGUAGGAUCUACGAGUCUCUUAGUUUAAAGUGGCCCGCUCUGAUUCUUGCCAUGAGAGGAUGGCUGCAUCGAUGGCGAAUUUGGGAUUUACUGGGCGUAUUGAUCCUCGGGAGUAUUACGCCGCCAUCGAGGAGCUGGGCAGCGUGUAUACCGGGAGCCGAAUGGUGUUGGAUCAUCUUAGGAAGGCAGAUUUUCCUUAUUUUCCUUACCUGUGGCAAUCGCUUCAUUGCUGAAUGAAUUUGAAGAUUGCUAGAUCCUUAUGAUGUUGCCACGAUAUGCGGCGGCCAACGACAAGGCCAGUGAUGGGCUUCUCCAAACGUGAAAGGCUAGGUAAAACCGAUCUCUAUUUCAAGUUUUGCGCUGACGGGAAAAAGCUACCUACCUUUCCGUUCCCUUCCUUAAAUAACGUUCUUCCUUUCUUUUUCUUUGUUUAAGCGUUUAAAAAUAAUAAUAAGCUAUUAAUAUACAAUUUUGAUCAUAACUCUUUGAAACGCUCUCAUUUUGGAGCGGAGACUUGUGGCGCUCCUACGAUGGUCGCCGGGCACUAUUUGAACUAAAUGUGAGAAUUUCGUUUAUUUCUGAGCUAAAAAGUGUGCAACACGUUUAGUUGCGGCGCUAGACAAUUUUUGCACAGUGGCGCAGCCAACAGUGAAAUUUGGAGGACAAAGGUCAUCGUCAGAUGUCGCCACUGAGAUACGUAGAUGUGAUGUAGAUUGUUUUAGAGAAAUUCAAAUAACAUUUAGGCUUUAUUCGUUACUUUUGAGAAUCCGUAAGAGUUGUCAAUAAACAUUUGUAUUUUUGUAUUUAGGGUAUAUAUAAAACAAGAUAAAGUAUUAUCAUAUAGUCGGGGCAACUUCUCUUUCCCGUUCUUGAGGGCCUUGAGUACCAAGACAGGUAUGAAUCCAUCAUGGAGCUUAUAAAAAAUGUCUUUCAAUCAUCCGCACUAGUCGAUCCAGCAUUGAAUGAAGUCUAGAGUACAUAUUGGAUUCUUGGAACUGGUGGUAAAGGGCAAAGCCCGCGAUAAUAUAAAUUUUCUUUCUCCAAGACCCCACCCCAACCU
rnacentral:sRNA from 1 species